ensembl:snRNA U6 U6 spliceosomal RNA
GCACUCGCUUUGGCAGCACAUAUACUAAAAUGGGAAUGAGUCAGAGAAGAUUAGCACGGCCCCUGCACAAGGAUGAUACGCAAAUUCAUGGAACGUUCCAUAUUUUU